rnacentral:ribozyme from 1 species
UCGUCUGUGGAGAAGUUUCUGUAUGCUCUAUGGACUCUUUGGAAUCAUGUGACAUGUUAGGGUUUGGUGUGUUAGGAGUAGACGGCGAUGAUGAUGACGAUGACGAGGAUGGUGGCGCCAGUAGCAACGGCAUGA